UCAACGUGUAGGAUAGGCUUUGGUGCAGCAUCUUGUGGAAUCAUUUUUCCUCUUCUCUUUAUUGAGAAAGAGGUGAAGAUGUUGAUGGAACGUUGUCGCUCGUCCACACAGACUCGUGUGUCCUGCCAUUGGUAGACCAGCAGAAUGACAGGAGGAAUGCCAGCUCCUGAGCAGAGCCCAGUGACGGAGGAGAGGCUUCUGCUGACCAUUCGUGACAGUUCAGCUGGCCGCAAAAUGGAGACCGACAACACAGCCAAUAACAUCCUGGCCUCCGUUA